rnacentral:rRNA from 1 species
AUUGAACGCUGGCGGCAGGCUUAACACAUGCAAGUCGAGCGGAAACGAUACCAGCUUGCUGGUAGGCGUCGAGCGGCGGACGGGUGAGUAACACUUAGGAAUCUACCUAGUAGUGGGGGAUAGCUCGGGGAAACUCGAAUUAAUACCGCAUACGACCUACGGGAGAAAGGGGGCAGUUUACUGCUCUCGCUAUUAGAUGAGCCUAAGUCGGAUUAGCUAGAUGGUGGGGUAAAGGCCUACCAUGGCGACGAUCUGUAGCUGGUCUGAGAGGAUGAUCAGCCACACCGGGACUGAGACACGGCCCGGACUCCUACGGGAGGCAGCAGUGGGGAAUAUUGGACAAUGGGGGCAACCCUGAUCCAGCCAUGCCGCGUGUGUGAAGAAGGCCUUUUGGUUGUAAAGCACUUUAAGCAGUGAAGAAGACCAUAUGGUUAAUACCCAUAUGCGAUGACAUUAGCUGCAGAAUAAGCACCGGCUAACUCUGUGCCAGCAGCCGCGGUAAUACAGAGGGUGCAAGCGUUAAUCGGAAUUACUGGGCGUAAAGCGAGCGUAGGUGGCUUGAUAAGUCAGAUGUGAAAUCCCCGGGCUUAACCUGGGAACUGCAUCUGAUACUGUUAAGCUAGAGUAGGUGAGAGGGAAGUAGAAUUCCAGGUGUAGCGGUGAAAUGCGUAGAGAUCUGGAGGAAUACCGAUGGCGAAGGCAGCUUCCUGGCAUCAUACUGACACUGAGCUCGAAAGCGUGGGUAGCAAACAGG